AAUAAUUAUGUCAACUACCACACUAGAUAUCUAGUAGGAACCCCCAAAACCAGCGUCACAAGUGCAUGGGCAUCUAUUAAUGGGUACAACAAUAAUACAACAUCCAUCUAAAAUAUAAGUUAGAUGGGGAUAUAAUUAACUCUGAUGGAGACUCCCUAUGGCGCGGAUCGUAAUAAGGAAGUGCAGUUAACCAUAGAGCCCCUGCAACAACUGUAACUCUACACCUAGAGGGCCACCACAAACAUA
rnacentral:lncRNA from 1 species